UGUCGUUUAGUGGUGGUGUUGUGCUUUCAGCGUAACAGAUGCGAAACACUGCGUAGGAAAUGUGUGUAAUCAGCUUUCGAUAAGCAGUGCACAUUGCGUCUCGGACAACUGUCUACUUCGUCGUCGUCGAAACUUCCUGCAGUGGACCAGAGCCAUUUAUGCCUGCAGAGGAGCAGCUGCCAGAGCCUGCAGUGGACUACACAACAGCGCUGCACACAAAUGACUUUUAGCAGAUGUGUGAAUGGUGACUGAUGUGUAGCGAUUGUCUGCUAUUUACACAAGAACUUUAAAGUAGAUCCGUUUCGCACGGUGGAUCGUGAUGGAUUGCUUGGUGAAUGCGGAGGAUUCCCAGGAAUGACUCCCUGGCAGCAAAGGAGGUGUGGGAGCUGGGGCAUCUGGUUCCUUUAUUUGGCCGAGGAAAAACGGCGCGUGGACGACCCCGAAUGAUGUUCUCCUCUCACGACCACCCUCUAUCGACUUCCAUCCGGGGAAAUGAGUGUCUACUACACAGAUGAAGCCUGCAUUCUGAGCCACGCAUGAAAUGACCACGAGCUCUGCCGACACUCCGUCAUGCUCUGGUAGUUAAAGGCACAGUUAACGAAGGUCUAACUGACUCCCGCA